CCAAGGAGUCCAGCAUGUGCGCGAGUCGAAGGGAUUUCACGAAACCCCACGGCGAAAUGAAAGUGAAGGCCGCCCACGGCUGGCCUAGGCAGGAUCCUCUCCCCCUCGCCGGGGAGGGGCGCACUGCCGGCCCGUCUCGAUCGCCUAUGACGACGAGGCGGAGCAAGAGCGCACACGCUGGGACCCGAAAGAUGGUGAACUAUGCCUGAGCAGGACGAAGUCAGGGGAAACUCUGAUGGAGGUCCGUAGCGAUUCUGACGUGCAAAUCGAUCGUCAAACUCGGGUAUAGGGGCGAAAGACUAAUCGAACCAUCUA
rnacentral:rRNA from 1 species